UUCUCUCUUUCUUUUCUCCCGUGAGUUUUCUGCUGGACUUUUCCAGCGUGGUCUGCCACCGUCCGGCCAGCCACCAGCUGCCAGCCCACCCCAGUUUUGACCCCCAUCACCUCCUCUCUCUCCCCGGCCUAGCCCCCGAGUCGUUAGCCCGCCGGAAGAGGAGAAAACUCGCCGGAGACGCCGGGAAGCUUUUUGCCGGAAAUCCCACCUCCGGCCACCAUAGGUCGGAAUCUUUGGCUCAUCUUGUAGCCCUCAUCAAGGUGAGUAUUCCCUCAAAAGGAAUUAGUCUAUUUCGUUGUUGUUAUGGAGAAAUGUAUAAUUGAAGUUUUUAGGGAUUUAUGGAAGUUUUGAUUCAUUGGCCCUAGUUAGCCUUAGAAAUGGACUAAGUGCUAGUUAUAAAUGUUGUUGAGCAUGAUGAGAGGAAUAUUCUGUGAAAAUUUGAGAAGCAUUGGAGGUCGUCGGAAAACGGCUGCCGGCCGCCGCCGCCCCUUAGGGGCAGUUUUUCAUGCUUUUUGGGUUUGUUUUAAUGAGAGGAGUUUAAUGAAGUAUAGUUUGGAAUUUUUGGAGGAGAUUUGAUAAGGUUUAGGAUUUAUCUAUGAUUAAGGAUUUAGGCGGUUAUUCGAAUGGAAAUCCGGCAGUUGGUUUAGCAGGUUUUAAAGUCUAAAAAGGUUAAAUUAUGGCUUUCGGUAAGUGCGGAGUAAUGUGAACCUUAUUAGGUAAAAUGUGGAGAAGUUGGGCAAGAGAAAUGAAAUUAUAGGCUUCCUUUUUAUUUCGGGAAUUUUAUUAAAGUUUUGUCCUGGUUUGGAGGCUUAAUGAUUAUUUAUUGUUCAGGACGUGAGGAGGAUCAUUUGGAGGAGGCCUCGGGCCGUCGGCAAGCAUAGCCUAGCACUGUGAGUGGACCUUUGAUUUUAAUAUCAUGCAUGCGCUAAAGUUAUUUAAUUUUAAAGGCAUUUGGAGAUAUAAUAUUUUGUUGGAUUAUCGAGUUCCACUUAUUUUUCCGGAACUCUCUUGCUAAUUUUAGUUGACACGUGAGACGUGUCAAGUGUUUUAUAUUAUUUCCAUGUACAGUUGGGAACUGUACUGUGCGCUAUGAGUUUA
rnacentral:lncRNA from 1 species